rnacentral:misc_RNA from 1 species
AAGUCGUAACAAGGUUUCCGUAGGUGAACCUGCGGAAGGAUCAUUAACACGUAUCCAACGUUAAACCCCCCGUGAACCUUCAGUGCGCUCGCACUUUCUUAGAAAAGGUAGCAAUCCCUGGUAAAUCAUUGCCGAACAGUUUUGAUUCAGGGACUUCUGCGUAGACUGUGCUUGAGCGUGAGGCAAGUGGCCUGGCAUUCCUCAGCUCUGUACGAAUGGCGCAGUCACGAUCGCUAGAGGCCGACACGGCCGGCGACGGGGUCACUGGGCGCGAGCCCCCCUCGUCACCUUUGCAUGAAAACGGGCCUGCGCUUAAUUGUGCGGCCACCAAACUCGAACAACUGUUAACAAUGGAUAUCUUGGUUCUC